AACGAACGCUGGCGGCAUGCCUAACACAUGCAAGUCGAACGAGACCUUCGGGUCUAGUGGCGCACGGGUGCGUAACGCGUGGGAAUCUGCCCUUCGGUUGGGAAUAACUGAGAGAAAUUUCAGCUAAUACCUUAUAAUGUCUUCGGACCAAAGAUUUAUCGCCGAGGGAUGAGCCCGCGUAGGAUUAGGUAGUUGGUGGGGUAAUGGCCUACCAAGCCGACGAUCCUUAGCUGGUCUGAGAGGAUGAUCAGCCACACUGGGACUGAGACACGGCCCAGACUCCUACGGGAGGCAGCAGUGGGGAAUAUUGGACAAUGGGCGAAAGCCUGAGCCAGCAAUGCCGCGGGAGUGAUGAAGGCCUUAGGGUUGUAAAGCUCUUUUACCCGGGAUGAUAAUGACAGUACCGGGAGAAGAAGCUCCGGCUAACUCCGU
rnacentral:rRNA from 1 species